GAUACGGCCCAGACUCCUACGGGAGGCAGCAGUGGGGAAUAUUGCACAAUGGGCGCAAGCCUGAUGCAGCGACGCCGCGUGCGGGAUGACGGCCUUCGGGUUGUAAACCGCUUUUGACUGGGAGCAAGCCCUUCGGGGUGAGUGUACCUUUCGAAUAAGCACCGGCUAACUACGUGCCAGCAGCCGCGGUAAUACGUAGGGUGCAAGCGUUAUCCGGAAUUAUUGGGCGUAAAGGGCUCGUAGGCGGUUCGUCGCGUCCGGUGUGAAAGUCCAUCGCUUAACGGUGGAUCCGCGCCGGGUACGGGCGGGCUUGAGUGCGGUAGGGGAGACUGGAAUUCCCGGUGUAACGGUGGAAUGUGUAGAUAUCGGGAAGAACACCAAUGGCGAAGGCAGGUCUCUGGGCCGUCACUGACGCUGAGGAGCGAAAGCGUGGGGAGCGAACAGGAUUAGAUACCCUGGUAGUCCACGCCGUAAACGGUGGAUGCUGGAUGUGGGGACCAUUCCACGGUCUCCGUGUCGGAGCCAACGCGUUAAGCAUCCCGCCUGGGGAGUACGGCCGCAAGGCUAAAACUCAAAGAAAUUGACGGGGGCCCGCACAAGCGGCGGAGCAUGCGGAUUAAUUCGAUGCAACGCGAAGAACCUUACCUGGGCUUGACAUGUUCCCGACAGCCGUAGAGAUACGGUUUCCCUUCGGGGCGGGUUCACAGGUGGUGCAUGGUCGUCGUCAGCUCGUGUCGUGAGAUGUUGGGUUAAGUCCCGCAACGAGCGCAACCCUCGCCCUGUGUUGCCAGCACGUCGUGGUGGGAACUCACGGGGGACCGCCGGGGUCAACUCGGAGGAAGGUGGGGAUGACGUCAGAUCAUCAUGCCCCUUACGUCCAGGGCUUCACGCAUGCUACAAUGGCCGGUACAACGGGAUGCGACCCCGUGAGGGGGAGCGGAUCCCUUAAAACCGGUCUCAGUUCGGAUUGGAGUCUGCAACCCGACUCCAUGAAGGCGGAGUCGCUAGUAAUCGCGGAUCAGCAACGCCGCGGUGAAUGCGUUCCCGGGCCUUGUACACACCGCCCGUCAAGUCAUGAAAGUGGGUAGCACCCGAAGCCGGUGGCCCAACCUUUUGGGGGGAGCCGUCUAAGGUGAGACUCGUGAUUGGGACUAAGUCGUAACAAGGUAGCCGUACCGGAAGGUGCGGCUG
rnacentral:rRNA from 1 species